GACUAAGGUUCGAUUCGAGCGCAGCGAGAAAGCGUUGCCGUAGGCAACGACCCGAAGGGCGAAGCGCGCAGCGCUGAGUAAUCCUUCCCCCGUCAUCC
rnacentral:sRNA from 2 species